AUAUCUAAACAAAAAACACUCAAUACAUUUUCAAAAAAAAUUAAAUUACGACUGACUUUACUAUUAGCCAUGUUGCAAGCUUAGAAUAGAAAUGACGCUUAGAUGCCGUAUUAACUUUCUGAGUCCGGCCGGUCGGUGGCCCCACUUAGUCCCAAAAGCAUUAAUUGAAAAAAUAAUAAUAAAAAGAAUCGUUGUUGGAGCUCACGAGUGUCUAGAUCUCUGCCAAAUGUUGGGGCUCCGACGAAUCUGUCAGUUCUCAACCUCACGAGAGCCAAUCGCUUCAUGCCACGAUCCCCAAACGACCUUUGAUCCAGUACUUUCCCUCACUUUUUUCUUGUUGUUCUACUCCCCAAAAACCCUAAAACCUGAUCACCCUCCAUUUUCAAGCACAACUAGCUCAGUUCUAAUCGCUUUUUCCUAAUCACUUUGAUUCUAAUAACUUUAAUUUUUCCUAGUUCUAAAGCUUCAAAUUUCUCAAAGCUUCAACUACCAAAGAUUCUCGCAGCUGUUGGCAAGCUCAUCGAGCUCGUAGCGUCUUCAUGGUUUGAGAAGAGUGAGGUCGAAGAUGUUGAAGUUGCAUGUAUUGCUAAGUUUUCUUGUUUUGUUGAUGAUGGUGGAUCUCACAGGGUCGCAUUUGACCUCCGGACCGCACAUUGCAGAAGUGAACAUACUUUCCAAGGAUGACUAACCCUGUGGAGUAUACGCUACAAGGAAGUGAAAGUUGCUUCAAAUGGUCAUGGCGAUCCCAGAUAGAAUAUCUUUAUUCGGGUAUCACAGCCUCCUUUCAAUCUGUGAUACCCGAAUAAACUCGAGUUGGAUGGACUUGCCACUCUCCACGUCUGCUCCUUCGAUGACGAAGAAAAUGUAUUUUCGUCGUUGGUGGGCUUAAAUCUCUUAACCUCGCAUCUGCAUCCCAAAAUCCUGAGCAAAGCUGUUUAAAAUUUAUGAAAUGCUACUUCAUAAUUUCAGGAAGCCUAAACUCUAUUGACCUAAUGGCUGGGGUAAAAGAUGGAAGUGCUUUUGAUGCUUCUCAGGUUUGGAUUUACUUUCGAGUAUGUUCUGAAGCUAUGAUUUACCUUUGUCUGAAUGCUCAUAAGUGAAUAAGAAUAAUGAAUUUAUUACUUAUUUGGUUUAGUGUUCUUCAUCUUUUUAUUGUUACCUAAUGUGCUUCUGUGCCCAUUUAUGUGUCACUUGUGUCUUUCUUUAUAUUUUAUAGAUAGGUUUCAUUGACUGGAAACUU